UGGGGAAUAUUGGACAAUGGGGGGAACCCUGAUCCAGCCAUGCCGCGUGUGUGAAGAAGGCCUUAUGGUUGUAAAGCACUUUAAGCGAGGAGGAGGCUCUCUUGGUUAAUACCCAAGAUGAGUGGACGUUACUCGCAGAAUAAGCACCGGCUAACUCUGUGCCAGCAGCCGCGGUAAUACAGAGGGUGCGAGCGUUAAUCGGAUUUACUGGGCGUAAAGCGUGCGUAGGCGGCUUUUUAAGUCGGAUGUGAAAUCCCCGAGCUUAACUUGGGAAUUGCAUUCGAUACUGGGAAGCUAGAGUAUGGGAGAGGAUGGUAGAAUUCCAGGUGUAGCGGUGAAAUGCGUAGAGAUCUGGAGGAAUACCGAUGGCGAAGGCAGCCAUCUGGCCUAAUACUGACGCUGAGGUACGAAAGCAUGGGGAGCAAACAGG
rnacentral:rRNA from 6 species